UACAGAGGGUGCGAGCGUUAAUCGGAAUUACUGGGCGUAAAGCGUGCGUAGACGGUUAUUUAAGUCGGAUGUGAAAGCCUCGGGCUCAACCUGGGAAUUGCAUUCGAGACUGAAUAGCUAGGGUACGGUAGAGGGAAGUGGAAUUUCCGGUGUAGCGGUGUAAUGCGUAGAUAUCGGAAGGAACAUCAGUGGCGAAAGCGACUUCCUGGACCAGUACCGACGUUCAGGCACGAAAGCGUGGGGAGCAAACAGG
rnacentral:rRNA from 1 species